rnacentral:rRNA from 1 species
AGAAUCAACGCUGGCGGCGUGCCUAACACAUGCAAGUCGCACGAGAAAGGGGAGCAAUCCCUGAGUACAGUGGCGCACGGGUGAGUAACACGUGAAUCAUCUACCUCCGAGUGGGGAAUAACUGAGAGAAAUCUUAGCUAAUACCGCAUAACACUUACGAGUCAAAGCAGCAAUGCGCUUGGAGAGGAGUUCGCGGCAGAUUAGUUAGUUGGCGGGGUAAUGGCCCACCAAGACGAUGAUCUGUAUCCGGCCUGAGAGGGCGCACGGACACACUGGAACUGAAACACGGUCCAGACUCCUACGGGAGGCAGCAGUGGGGAAUUUUGCGCAAUGGGGAAACCCUGACGCAGCAACGCCGCGUGGAGGAUGAAGCCCCUUGGGUGUAAACUCCUUUCGAUCGGGAAGAUAAUGACGGUACCGAUAUAAGAAGCCCCGGCUAACUUCGUGCCAGCAGCCGC